rnacentral:rRNA from 1 species
UGAACGCUAGCGACAGGCCUAACACAUGCAAGUCAGGGCAGCACAGAGCAAUCUGAGGUGGCGACCGGCGCACGGUGAGUAACACGUAUGCAACCUGCCUGUAAGCGGGGAAUAACCCGUUGAAAGACGGACUAAUACCGCAUAAUACUAAAUUACUGCAUGGUAAUUUAUUUUAAACAUUUAUGGCUUACAGAUGGGCAUGCGCAUGAUUAGCUAGUUGGAGAGGUAACGGCUCCCCAAGGCAACGAUCAUUAGGGGUUCUGAGAGGAAGGUCCCCCACACUGGUACUGAGACACGGACCAGACUCCUACGGGAGGCAGCAGUGAGGAAUAUUGGUCAAUGGACGAGAGUCUGAACCAGCCAAGUCGCGUGCAGGAAGAAUGUUCCCUAUGGAUUGUAAACUGCUUUUGCAGGGGAAUAAAGUGCAUCACGUGUGAUGUUUUGUAUGUACUCUGCGAAUAAGGAUCGGCUAACUCCGUGCCAGCCGCUGC